CGAUGGGCUAUCAUCCUAUAAUCAGCUACUGACUCUUGCGCCAACAUACUUGUGUUUUUGUGUUUAUUUACCCUACUUUUGACAGUUUUUGGUUGUUUGUUUUCACACGUGAUGCACACACUUUUUACCCGUGAUGCACAAAAUCAAUUAAAGGCAUUUUUGUUUCGCCGCGUUUGAUUGGUGAUUCAAAAGUUUUCGACCAAUAAAAAUCAUCCUAACGAUAUUCGGUGACAAAGUUGUUGACAGGUGAAGUUCACGACCCGUAACGGGAUAAGUUUACGCUAAUUGAUUAUGUAAUGUUUUUACAAGCUGAUUAGAAGCUGAUAGAUGUGAUAUACACAUGUAUGAUAACUGCCUCGGGCGCCAGGUUUUAGGGCGACUUGGUUUUCGCUUUUCUGUACAAACAGAGCGAAGUCAUCAGAAAUAAAGCGACCACUUCGCUCACGUCGCCUAGAAGCGUGGACGCUGAUUACAUAUUGUUACAUGUUAAAUUACAUAAUAUAUAAAUAACUUCUCCAACUGCUAUGAAGCAAAAAAAAAGUAUAAACAGUACUGUCAACUGAUGAAUGCAUCAGAGACAUUUUUGGUCUCAUUAUUCAUCACUAUGUACAGUUUCAAUUUUAGAUCAUUAUACCCAAUAAUAAACUAUGAAAAAAAUAUGGACAUCUAAGUGUGAAAUUAAAUCUAUUUUUCAGGUACAGCAUCAUAUGUGUAUAUAAAGUAUCAGCACACAUGAAUGAAUUGAGACAUGUUUAGUGACCCAAUGUAUUGUGUUCAAAGGCUCCAUCCAACAGUUCAAAGACAUGUCAUAGCAGUGGAGCAAAUGGUGGCAAAUGAUGGCUUUGUGGUUGUUAGUGAAAAACUGUGGCAAUCUACAUUGGUGGUGGCAAACACUGACAGAAAAUUUCUGGACCAGCAGUGACAUCAAGUUGAAAAUAAUGACAUAUUUUACACUGUACUGAAGAUAUAAUUGCGAAAAUUAUUUAAGAAAUAAUAUAUCUCAUUCAGUGAUUUGUCGCUGAAUAAAUCAUUGUUUGGAGUUCAGAUGCGAAGGAAUUAUAUCACGAGGGCGCAACAUUACUGAAAGGAUUUUCUUCAAACAACUACAAUUACAUUGCAUCCAAAAUCAGUGGCACAGAAACCGGUAGGGGACUAUGUAUUGCCUUGCAAUACUUCAGCAGCUUGUUGUUUUAUAUGUGUAACCUGUAAAUGAAUAUUGGUGUGUUUUAUAAAGUUAAGAAGUCCUA
rnacentral:lncRNA from 1 species